UCUAAAGUGCUGGAAGUACAGGUGUGAGCUACUGUGCCUGACCAUGAACUCUGUUUUUAAUUGUAUUUAGUUUAAUUCAUUUCAAUUUAAAUGAGAACACAUUGUCAGCCACGAACUCAGUUUAAAUUGUAUUUAGUUUUAAUUCAUUUCAAUUUAAAUGAGAACACAUUGUGACUGUAUUAAACAGCUCAGCUCUAAACCACUAUAUUAUUGUGCUUUUUAGAUAUGACUAGAAGAAUGGCACAGAGUUAUUUAACUCUUAGUUGCAACUGUUAUUUAAAUCCAAAGAUACAACAUCUUUAUGGGAUUCUGGCUACCACCCAUGAAUUUGAAGUCUUCUAAAUGGUGCCAUCCAUAAUCUAUGAAACAUAUGCCUCUCUAAUUUCAAAGCACUGUCAGAUCAAAAACAGUUAUCCAAAUACAUUAUGUUCCUUUUUAUUGAAAGAAAUGGAGGACGACCAAAGUGUUCUGACUCUAAUUUGUCCUUACGUAAGGGCAUAGGUGUGUAGAUAAAAAUAAAGAAAAUCUAAUCAUAAGAGGUAGCGCAUGACAUUGCAGAUUUAGCUGAAAUUUACAAGUUCUAUUUCUAUUGAUUUUUUAUUGUAUUUUUUUUAUUUUGGAAAAUUUAAAAUGUAUAAAACUUUUUUAAAAAGAAGAGGAAAGAAUAAUCCAAGAAAUCUUCACCAACAGGAAUUAAUCACUGUCAUAUUUGAGUCAGUCUUUUUUCCUAUGUAUAUACUAUUUUUUAAAUUAUGUGAAUUAAUUCUCCCCUUUUUUUAAAAAAAAACCAUAUUAUUGACUUAAUCCUCCCCACCUUGUCUAUCACUUUAAUCACAGUAACUCUCCUUAUUCUCAAAAAAUAGAUAUUAUUCUGAACUUGGUGUGUAUGCUUUCAGUGCAUUUUGUAAACUUUUACAUGUAUAUUCACAUAUACUUAAAAGCACAUAAUAUUGUUGAUGUGGGAAUUUUUUAAAAAAAUUUCUAUACAUGAUAUCACACUGCGUGUUGUGCAGCGUCUUUCCACUUGUCAUUUUUGAGCUGUGUGUAUUUUGAUAGAUUUACAUCUAGAAGUCAUUCUAUAAUUAUUAAUUUCUAGGAACACACCACAGUUUAUUCAUUUCUUGCUGGCGGUUAUUUAGGUUGCGUCAGUUUUUCAUUAUUUCCAAUUAUGUUGCAGUGAAUGUCCUUGUACAUAUCCCCCAGUGCGUCUGUGCAAAUAUUUCUCUGUGCAGAUAAUGUUAAGAUUAUAGACUUCGCCCCUCUUCGAUAUUACUAGGUACUCCUGAAGCACUUCCAGCUUGGCUAUGGUGUAGACACCCACCAGCAGCGUAUGAACACACUCAUUUCCCCACACUUACACCAACAUCUGAUACCAAACAACUUAAAAAUUUUGCCCAUCUGAAAAAGGAUUUUUGCAACUAAAGUAUCAAAAGAAGUGAAGAUGCUAAGGAAUUCUUUGGCUUUACAAGAUGAAUUCCAUACAAAAUGAGGCCGUCAGACAACCAGAUUCCAUAUGACAAUGAGAAAGUUCCCGCACAGUACUUCAGGCUUCAUCUAGGGAACAUGUUUAAAGGUUUGGAAUUCCGCUGACUCAGACCCUGAUUUGUCAUGGAGGCAGACCUGUCAAGGUCUCAUCAGAGGAGCUGCUAGGGAAGUGGACCAGGAUCACAGCUGCCCAUUCUCUCACCCCACCUAUCUUCUGCAGAGUGGCCCAUUUGUGCUUUAGGAGGAAGAGUGCAGGAGCAGUGGUCAGCAUGCUGUGAACGUUACUUUCUGAGCAUGGGUGGGUCUCGAUAAAUGCUCCUGUCCACUUCAUUCCCUCUUAAUAGACCCAUCAAACAAGAGCUCGUUGUUUUCCAGCGCCAGCCUAGGUAAACCAGUCAUCUUGUGCCCCAGCGUGUCAAAGAAAACGCCUGCUUCCCAGAAGUUUCCCACUAAUGGGGAAAGAACUUGUUCACACAGCCUUUUAUUGUAAACCAGCUCAUUCUUUGGCAAUCUGAAACCAAGACUGCACAUUUAGCCAGGCGGGUCUUUUCAAAGCAUGUCCUUUACCAUAGUGUCCAUUGCAUUAUGUCUUCUUUCUUGUUUUGUGUUAUCAUUUUUGUGACGCAUUAAUGCUCAGUGCACAAACUGAAGCUAUGUGGCAUCCGUAUCAUGGUGUAUUAGGAUUCCAAAAAAACAUGCAAUCCCUGAGCAGACAAUAAAUUUGAUUUUGCACAA